rnacentral:rRNA from 1 species
GACGAACGCUGGCGGCGUGCUUAACACAUGAAAGUCGAGCGGAGCGGCGAACGGGUGAGUAACGCGAGAGUAACUGCCCUCCUCUCUGGGAUAACAGAUGGAAACGGCUGCUCAUACCGGAUAGUGGGGGAUGACUCGCGUCCUAUCAGCUUGUUGGUGGGGUAGUGGCCUACCAAGGCGACGACGGUUAGCCGGCCUGAGAGGGCGACCGGCCACAUUACUCACGUUUGCCGCCCCUUCUCCUUCUUUAAUCCUCACUUAGGAAUAUUCCCCAAGGGGGGAAACCCUGAAGCGACACACCUCGUCCUCCGUGACGGCCUUCGGGUUGUAAACCACUUUCAGCCCUGACGCGGUAGUGGCAGAAGAAGCACCGGCUAACUACGUGCCAGCAGCCGCGGUAAUUC